rnacentral:rRNA from 1 species
AGCGAACGCUGGCGGCAGGCCUAACACAUGCAAGUCGAACGAAGUCUUCGGACUUAGUGGCGGACAGGUGAGUAACACGUGGGAACGUGCCUUUAGGUUCGGAAUAACUCAGGGAAACUUGUGCUAAUACCGAAUGUGCCCUUCGGGGGAAAGAUUUAUCGCCUUUAGAGCGGCCGGCGUCUGAUUAGCUAGUUGGUGAGGUAAAGGCUCACCAAGGCUACGAUCAGUAGCUGGUCUGAGAGGAUGACCAGCCACAUUGGGACUGAGACACGGCCCAAACUCCUACGGGAGGCAGCAGUGGGGAAUCUUGCGCAAUGGGCGAAAGCCUGACGCAGCCAUGCCGCGUGGAUGAUGAAGGUCUUAGGAUUGUAAAAUCCUUUCACCGGUGAAGAUAAUGACUGUAGCCGGAGAAGAAGCCCCGGCUAACUUCGUGCCAGCCGCCGCCGUAAGAC